UGCAAAUUCUUUGCCAGUCUGGCCACUGAUAGGCGGAGUCCUCGUCACUUCCCCAUGAGCCUGGGCUGGGCGUGUGGUUUGUUCUGACCAGUAGAAUCUGGGCCUUAGAAGAUCUGCAGUUCUUCUGCAUUUGCAAAUGGGGAACACCACCUCUUGGAACCCAGCGGCCAAGCUAGGAGAUGCCAGAGCCAGAAACUACCUAAAGGCCUUCCUGCUUCUAUUCUGGGGAGAAAGGGAAACACAGCACGAAGCCAAGAGGAGAAAGAGCUGCCCUUCCUCACCACUACCCACCACACUGCAUGGAAACAACGGAACUGCCCACCUCUCACUAGUGGUUUGCGAGCUCCUGGGAGAGAGACCCCACCUGCCUGGGGUCAUUUCUAUAUGCAUCCUAAUACUGGGGACAGGAACCACUCAACAACUACAGUUGGAAACUGUACCAAACACACCUACUGCAUCUCCCCUGGGCAAGUAUCCCCCACAACUACUGUUUAAUCAGCCUGUGGCUGCAGGUUCUCGAAACGUUCACCUGGCUCCAAGACUUUGAGGAGUCUUAGCAUCUCCAAGAUUCCAUCUUUCACUAAGCCCGGUGGUUUUUCACGAUUAGCAAAUGUUUACCAUUUGGAGAGGGCCCAAGGGCCUAAGAGAUUUCGCAGCAAAAUUCUUGAGCAAUAAAUUAGCCACAGGCCACGACUUGAAUUGUGUUAUGGGGUGUGUGUGUGUGGGA